rnacentral:rRNA from 1 species
UCGGGAAUAUUGGACAAUGGGCGAAAGCCUGAUCCAGCCAUGCCGCGUGUGUGAAGAAGGUCUUAGGAUCGUAAAGCACUUUAAGUUGGGAGGAAGGGCAGUAAAUUAAUACUUUGCUGUUUUGACGUUACCGACAGAAUAAGCACCGGCUAACUCUGUGCCAGCAGCCGCGGUAAUACAGAGGGUGCAAGCGUUAAUCGGAAUUACUGGGCGUAAAGCGCGCGUAGGUGGUUCGUUAAGUUGGAUGUGAAAUCCCCGGGCUCAACCUGGGAACUGCAUUCAAAACUGUCGAGCUAGAGUAUGGUAGAGGGUGGUGGAAUUUCCUGUGUAGCGGUGAAAUGCGUAGAUAUAGGAAGGAACACCAGUGGCGAAGGCGACCACCUGGACUGAUACUGACACUGAGGUGCGAAAGCGUGGGGAGCAAACAGGAUUAGAUACCCAUGUAGUCCCUGAGCGGGCUGGCAAGGCGCAU